rnacentral:rRNA from 1 species
GACGAACCGUGCGAACGUUGUUCGGAAUCACUGGGCUUAAAGGGCGCGUAGGUGGUCUGUCAAGUCGGGGGUGAAAUCCCUCGGCUCAACCGAGGAACUGCGCUCUAAACUACCGUGCUCGAGGGAGAUAGAGGUAAGCGGAACUUAGGGUGGAGCGGUGAAAUGCGUUGAUAUCCUAAGGAACACCGGUGGCGAAAGCGGCUUACUGGAUCUCUUCUGACGCUGAGGCACGAAAGCUAGGGUAGCGAACGGG